GGCAGACGGGUGAGUAAUGCAUAGGAAUCUACCUAGUAGUAUGGGAUAGCCACUAGAAAUGGUGGGUAAUACUGUAUAAUCCCUGCGGGGGAAAGAUUUAUCGCUAUUAGAUGAGCCUAUGUUAGAUUAGCUAGUUGGUAGGGUAAAGGCCUACCAAGGCAGUGAUCUAUAGCUGGUCUGAGAGGAUGAUCAGCCACACUGGAACUGAGAUACGGUCCAGACUCCUACGGGAGGCAGCAGUGGGGAAUAUUGGACAAUGGGCGCAAGCCUGAUCCAGCUAUGCCGCGUGAGUGAGGAAGGCCUUAGGGUUGUAAAACUCUUUCAGUGGGGAAGAUAAUGACGGUACCCACAGAAGAAGUCCCGGCAAACUCCGUGCCAGCAGCCGCGGUAAUACGGA
rnacentral:rRNA from 1 species